UACGAAGGGUGCGAGCGUUGUUCGGAAUUACUGGGCGUAAAGGGUUCGUAGGUGGGAAUGUAAGUUGAGUGUGAAACCCCCGGGCUUAACCUGGGACGUGCAUUCAAGACUGUAUUUCUUGAGUUUUGGAGAGGGUGGUGGAAUUGCUGGUGUAGGAGUGACAUCCGUAGAGAUCAGCAGGAACGCCGGAGGCGAAAGCGCCCACCUGGCCAAGGACUGACGCUGAGGAACGAAAGCGUGGGGAGCAAACAGG
rnacentral:rRNA from 1 species